CCGUAAACGUUGGGCACUAGGUGUGGGGGACAUUCCACGUUUUCCGCGCCGUAGCUAACGCAUUAAGUGCCCCGCCUGGGGAGUACGGCCGCAAGGCUAAGACUCAAAGGAAUUGACGGGGGCCCGCACAAGCGGCGGAGCAUGCGGAUUAAUUCGAUGCAACGCGAAGAACCUUACCAAGGCUUGACAUGGACCGGACCGGGCUGGAAACAGUCCUUCUCCUUUGGGGCCGGUUCACAGGUGGUGCAUGGUUGUCGUCAGCUCGUGUCGUGAGAUGUUGGGUUAAGUCCCGCAACGAGCGCAACCCUCGUUCUAUGUUGCCAGCACGUGAUGGUGGGGACUCAUAGGAGACUGCCGGGGUCAACUCGGAGGAAGGUGGGGACGACGUCAAAUCAUCAUGCCCCUUAUGUCUUGGGCUUCACGCAUGCUACAAUGGCCGGUACAAAGGGUUGCGAUACUGUGAGGUGGAGCUAAUCCCAAAAAGCCGGUCUCAGUUCGGAUUGGGGUCUGCAACUCGACCCCAUGAAGUCGGAGUCGCUAGUAAUCGCAGAUCAGCAACGCUGCGGUGAAUACGUUCCCGGGCCUUGUACACACCGCCCGUCAAGUCACGAAAGUUGGUAA
rnacentral:rRNA from 1 species